CGGGGCGUGGCGCAGUCCGGUUAGCGCACCUGCUUUGGGAGCAGGAGGUCGCCGGUUCAAAUCCGGCCGCCCCGACCA
rnacentral:tRNA from 2 species